UCCCUGAAGGACUAGUGGUUAGGCCUUGGCGCUCUCACCCCCGUGACCUGGGUUUGAUCCCCAGCCAGGGAA